CUACUUUGUCAAAGCGAAAACAGGAAAAGUCUAGUCGAAUUAGGGCGCAAAAGUCUGGCGAUGCUGACUUAGUCAAAAUCGAUUUCUCUCUCGAUUCUCUGUUUGAUUUUGUUUUCUUCGUUAGAUUUUGUUAUAAUUCUCAUGUUCCUGAAGUGAUUCUACACAGUUUACAUAAUUUUUAUUAUCAUUUUGAUCGAAAAUUUUUGGUUUUUGAAAAACUUGAAAAUGACCUAAUUGUUGGGUUUUACUAACGAUCUCUUUUUCCUCAGAAAUUUUUUAGUUUAUUGAAAUGAUUAUUACUCAAGACUAGUAUACUGAUAUAAUUGUUAUUUAAAUCGUCAAUAAUCUUUUGAGUUGGGGUUUUAAUUCGUCUUUCUCUCCUUUUAUUUUAGCUCAUGAGCUAAUGGAGGUGCAGUCAUAGAGCUUCAGUUCAUCAUCAUGAGAUCCGUUAAACAUCAGUGAUUAUGGGAUUCACAGGCUUUAUUAAGCGUCUGGAAUGAUGAAUUCAAGGAUGCAAUCUUAUUGGAUCAUAUGCCUUUAGCCUUUCUUCCACCAGAACCGGUUAUCACUGACGAGGAAUUUGAGAAAGAAGUUGAUCUCAUGAUGAUGGAUGAUGGCUCUAUGGCUGAGGAUACCUCUAUGGCUCAUGACCAAGUAACUUUUUCAAUUUUCUUAUCAUCAAUUAUUCAUUGAUAAUCUUUUUCUCUUUUGCUUGUUUUCGUUGUUGCAUGUUACUGCCAUUUUGCCUAUUUCAGUUAUAUUGUCUGUUGUUUUCUAGUCUUAUAAUGAACUUCUUGAGUUGGAAUAUGAAUGGGUGUUGUUCAGAUAAAAAGUGGAGACAUUUGUUUAGUUUAUAUAGGAAGUACAAACUUGAUGGAAUAUGUUUACUGGAAACUAUGGUUAAUGAGGUUACGGUUAGGAAUUACACACAUCAUUUGCCUUAUGACACUUGGAUAAUUAUUCCUUAUGUGGGAAAUCUGGAGGACUAGCUUUCGGUUUCUUUAAUAACUCCUCUAUAGAGAUUCUAGGCUACUCCCUCAACAUGAUUCAUAUUCUGUGUGAUAUUUCGCCUACAAUAAAAAAUUGUGGCGUCUCUUUUGUUUAUGGGUCUUUUAACCUUGCUGGUAUGAGAAAACAAUGGAACUUUCUUAGUGACAUGAAUGAUAAUAACAGUAAUCCUUGGCUUCUUCUAGGAGACUUUAAUUUCAUUUUACAUAAUUCAGACAAACAAGGUGGUAACUCUUCUAGAUCUUUUCCCCCUAAUUUUGUUAAAAAUAAGCUUAUGGAUAUGAAUAUGAAUGAAGUUGUCUCUUUUAGUAAUCCCUUUACAUGGUGCAAUAAGCGAUUUAAGAAUCCUAAUGAAUUGAUCUUUGAGAAAUUUGACAGGGCCUUUAUGAAUGAUCAGUGGGUCACCGUUCUUCCCCAAACUCGUGCUGCUAACUUAGGAAGAAUAUUUUCUGAUCAUUGUCCUGUUUUGGUUAAGUGUUUUCAUUGGGUGAAGAAGUCGAAUAUUCCGUAUAAAUUUUUUAAAUGUUGGCAACUUAAUCCAGAAUUUAAGGAUGUUUUGAAUACUUCUUGGUCUAAGAGGGUUACUGGUUCCCCUACUUUUGUGGUUAGUAAGCUUCAGAAUGUGAAAACUGAUUUAUGCAAAUGGAACAUUAAUUCUUUUGGACAUAUCAAAACCACUAUAGGAAAACUCAAUCCCGGUUAGAAAGACUUCAAUAUCUUCCAUAUUCUCCUCAGAUUAGGCAAUACAUUUUGAAUUAUUCAAAACAGUUGGACUAUUGGUAUGAAGUUGAACAUUCUUUCUAUAAGCAGAAAUCGAGGAUAAAUUAUUUUACUCAGUAUGAUAGGAAUACUCAUUUUUUCCAUAAUUCGGUGAGUCUUAGGAACAUGUAUAACACUAUUCACACAAUUAAAGAUGAUCAAGGUAAUUGGUUAGAAGAUAGGGAUCAAAUUGUUCAUUACAUCUCCAAGCAUUUUAAAAAGUUUUUUUUCCACAUCUUAUCCUGCGCAUAAUUACAUUGAGGUAGCCUUAAGAUAUGUUAGCCCUAUUAUCUCUGAUGAAGUCAAUGCUUCUUUGAUUGCCAUUCCUACUGCUCAGGAAAUUAGAGAUACGGUUAUGAUUUUUCAGGAUAACUGGGAGAUUGUGCAAACUGAGGUUAUUUCGCAUGUUCAGAAUUCUUCAAAAAUAGAUUUCUUCUUAAACAAAUUAACUUCACUUUUAUUUCCUUAAUUCCUAAAGUCAAAAAUGCUACUUCUCCCCAUGAAUUCAGACCAAUUAGUUUAUCAAAUUCUGUUUACAAAAUUAUUUCUAAAAUAUUAACAAAUCGUUUAAAACCUCUUAUGGAUAAUUUGGUUUCGCCUUUUCAGUCUGCCUUUGUCGCUAACCGUCAAAUUCAUGAUAAUGUGGUCAUUACUCAUGAAAUUCUUCAUUCCUUCAAGAAGAACAAGAAAAAUUCUAAGAAUGAUUAUCUUGCAAUAAAGCUUGAUCUUUCUAAAGCUUUUGUUAGAUUAGAGUGGACUUUUAUCCUUGCAGUUUUUGAGAAAUUAGGAUUCUCUGAACAAUGGUGUAAUAUGAUUGCCCAAUGCAUUAGUACAAUGUCGUAUUCAGUCUUAGUCAAUGGGUCUCCAGGUGAGACCUUUCAUCCUUCUCGUGGUAUUAGGCAAGGUGACUGUCUGUCACCUUACAUUUUUGUUCUUUGUAUGGAAGUUUUGUCGCAACUAUUGGUGAAAGCUGAGGAUGAAAAAAUGAUUCAAGGAUUCAAAUUCAGAAAGAAAAGUCCUUCUAUUUUUCAUCUUUCUUUGCUGACGAUUGUAUGCUUUUUUGCAAGGCUUCAGUCUCCUAUGCUAGGAAUCUCCUCAAGAUUAUUAAUGUCUUGGCUCAGGCAUCAGGUCAGGCAAUAAAUUUUGAAAAUUCGGGUUUUAUUACUAACAAAUAAAUGCAUCAAAAGCAUAUUAAGAUGUUUUCUAAAAUUCUCAGAAUGAAAUUCCUUUGUAACUCUGAAAAAUACCUUGGUACCCCUCUUUUUAUAGGAAAAGAUAAAACCAAUUCCUUUAAAUUCCUUAUUGACAAUCUUCAUUCUAUAUUAAGUGCUACUAAAAAGACUAAUCUCAAUGUUGCGAGGAGAACCAUUGUGACUAAACAUGUUUUAUCUAGUUUAGCUGUCUAUCAUAUGGCUUGUUUUCCGCUUCUGAAAACUGUUACUUCUAAAAUUGAUGUUAUUCAAAGAACCUUCUGGUGGUCUAAAAAGAAUUUAAUGAGAGCUGCUUAUUUUCGUUCUUGGGGUGAUAUUGGUAAGUCCAAAUUGAAUGGUGGAUUAGGUAUUAGAAACACCUUUGCUAUGAAUAGAGUUUUCAUUUAUAAGUCGGGUUAGAGAAUUCUCAAAAAUCCAAGCUUCUUACUUUCCCGAUUUUUGAAAGAUAAAUACUUUCCUAAUCAGAAUUUGCUGGAAAUAGAUAAAGUUGCUAACUCCUCGUCUUGGAUAUGGAAAGGUAUUGUUAACGGUCUUCAUUUUCUUAAAGAUAAUUCUGUAAUUAAAAUCAAUGAUGGUGUCUCUACUCGCAUUUGGUCUACUAACUGGAUUCCAGGGAAUUUACUUCCCCCGGUUCCCAGGCUUUCUUCUCAUAGCGAGUAUGUUUAUGUUAAUGAACUUGUUGAUGUUCAAAAUGGUUGCUGGAAUGUCGGUUUACUUUCUUCGUUAUUCUCUGUUGAAGAUGUUACUAGGAUCAAGUCUAUUAGAUUGAAUCUGAUGCAAUGUGACUCUUUGAUGUGGGCUCACACUAGUAAUGGCAAGUUUACUAUUAAAUCUGCCUACAAAGUUUAUACAGGUGACUUUCCGCCACCGGCUGAUACUGCUUUCUGGAGAAAAGUCUGGUCCAUUGACUGCUUACCCAAAAUCAAAUUUUUUAUGUGGAAAAUUUUUGCGCACAUGCUUCCAGUUAACUCCUUGAUUCAGUUUUAUAACCCUGAUGUUGAUGUUCUUAAUUUGCCCUCUCUGUCAGAAUCAUGAGGAAACAGUUAUGCAUCUUUUUAUAGAUUGUUCUGUGGUGAAACACAUGUGGUUUGGUCUUUCCCUACAGCACAUGAUUGACUUGGAUUUGGAAUGGAUUGAUGACUAUUUCCUGCACUGGCAUGAUUCUACAUUAGGUCUCUCCCCUUAUAAUGUUUCCUGGCCUAGUAUUGGUGCCAUUGUAUUGGUGCCAUUGUAUUAUGGUGUGUGUGGAAAUUCAGAUGUGAUGUGACUUUCAAGAACGCUACUUUAGACUUAAAUAAGCUUGUUCUGGAGACGAAGAGAAUGAUUAAUACUUACAUUUCUCCUCUGUCUCAAGGCAGACAUUCUUCUGCUAUGAUCUAUAAGAUCCCUACUUCUGAAGUGGAUCACUUUAUGUUUAUUGAUGGAUCUUACAAGGAUUUUAAAAUAGGUAUGGGUGUUAUUUGUUGUGAUGUUGCAGGAAAUGUAAAGAGCUCGCGUUCGGACUACGGAUUGAUGUCAGAUGCAAUAGGUGCAGAGGCUGCUGCACUAAUUUUGGCCAUCUCUUGGGCACAAGAGAUGCAUCUUUCCAAAGUCGUCUUUGUUAGUGACUGCCUUCAGCUUGUGCAGUUCAGCAAUGGUGUCAGCACUAACAUUGCUUGGAGAAGCAGUGAUCUUGUUGAGCAUUGUCGGAGUUUGAUUUUCAGUACUGUGUCUUUUAGGAUUGUGUAUAUAAAGCGUGUGAAAAAUAAAUUAACCGACCGGCUUGCUCGCCGGGCUAGGAAACAUGAACUUAAGGGUCAAUGGGUUUCUCUUCCUUCUUUUUUGGCUUCUCAGACUUGGCUUGAGAACCUGACUGAAAUAUGUAACUCUUUUGUUUCUUAAUAUAUUGAAGUGUGGUUUUUUAGCAAAAAA